CCCUCGAUAGCUCAUUUGGCAGAGCGGAGGACUGUAGAUGUUACAACGGUGAUCCUUAGGUCGCUGGUUCAAAUCCGGCUCGAGGGA
rnacentral:tRNA from 1 species